GCUACAGAAACGUUAAAGGAAGUUGACGGGGGCCCGCACAAGCGGAGGAGCAUGUGGUUUAAUUCGAUGAUACGCGAGGAACCUUACCUGGGCUCGAACGUAAGAUGACUGUAGGUGAAAGCUUACAUCUCUUCGGAGCAUUUUACGAGGUGCUGCAUGGUUGUCGUCAGCUCGUGCCGUGAGGUGUCGGGUUAAGUCCCAUAACGAGCGCAACCCCUACCUUUAGUUGCCAUCAGGUUAAGCUGGGGACUCUAAAGGAACUGCCUACGCAAGUAGUGAGGAAGGCGGGGAUGACGUCAAAUCAGCACGGCCCUUACGUCCAGGGCUACACACGUGCUACAAUGGCCGAUACAGAGGGCAGCUACCUGGUGACAGGAUGCAAAUCUCCAAAGUCGGUCUCAGUUCGGAUCGGAGUCUGCAACCCGACUCCGUGAAGUUGGAUUCGCUAGUAAUCGCGCAUCAGCCAUGGCGCGGUGAAUACGUUCCCGGGCCUU
rnacentral:rRNA from 1 species